UAACCUGAAGAAAUACCUAGCAAGUGUCAGAGUAUAGUUGCAAUAGGUUAAGUAAAAAAGCAAAUCAGGGGGUGCAAACUAUCACGUGCUUUCCGCUGAAAUUUUUGUCAAGAGAGAUAAUUAAACUAAGCUAGUAUUGAUAAGUGUUGACCUGUCAUUGGUUUUACGUGGCCAUACAAAUUUUUUUGAAUGAAAAGUAAAACACCCAUAGUGAUAGCUCUAGCCAACAACCAAAAAUGUAGUCUCGAAGGAUAUAAAUGAACAUGCAUAGUCAUCAUAUUCAAUAAACUGUUAGACCACAGGCGACCUAGAAAAACUUUGGAGAUUCUCAAGUUAUAUGGAUUUUCUAGCUUAUAAGUCUGCACUACUGCUCGGUUUUGUAUCUUGUAAAAAUUGGUGUGAUUUUGUUUACAACACGAUGUUUAAGUGGCACCUCCAUAUAGGAUUACGACCUUCAUUAAUUUCACACAUGCAACCUUGCACUAUUCUUGUGCCUCGAAUAGAAAGACAACAAGGAAGCUUGCUUGCUCAAAAGAAAAUAUACAAUAUGGAAAUUUUACACUGUAAUUUCAAGUCCAAUUUAGACAGCUCCAAGUCAAUCAAAUAUACAGCUCAUCAUGACAGAACUGUUCUGUUUAUGAGACAUAUCUGUAGGGUAUAGUACAAUAGUACACCCAAAACCAGCUCUAGAAAGAAAGCACAAUGGUUAUCACCAAAAAGUCCCCCGCAUCGCCUCCUAGGGGCGGCUCGGGCGGAAACCCCAUCCACCACCGCCGGUCCCCUUCCACCCUCCUCAUCCCCUCACCGCCGCCGGCGCACGCCAUCAGGCAAAGCUCGCUGGCGGCCGACGGUGGUGGGACCUGGUCCUCGUGCACUCGCGGCGGGGAGGAGCGCUCCUCCCCGUGGUUAACUUGAUCUGGAUCUACGUGGCGCGGUGGCGGCUGGUCUCCGGCGGCGCUCCGGCGGGCUGUGGCAAGGUGGCUCCUGCUUCGUGGUUCUCCGGUGCAGCGUGGGGUGGCACCAGCGCAGGGCACGGCGCGGGGCGCGUGCGGCGGUGCUACGGGCCUGAUCUGGGCCGUGCAGGGCCUGCAGCGUGUGCGUGCAGGGGCGGCGUGGAGCUCGGCCGGUGCACCGGCAGCCGGUUCUGGCGCGUGAAGGUGCAGCGGUGCUGCUGCUGUUGGUGGUGGUGGCUUGCGGCCAAGGUCGUCGAGGGGCGCGGCCAAAGAGCGCCCCAGCCGUGAGUGAUGCAGAUCCGGUCUCCGGCGGCUGUGCUGGGAUGCAUGGGGCGCGCUGGUGUUUCUGUUGCUUGGCUGCAGCUCGGAACCACGGUGGUUCUUGGCUUCGGGCAGCGCUCCUCCGUUCCUGUCGGCAUGGUGCUUGGCAGAGCACGGUGGCUUGCGCUGCAUCCGGUGGCUGUGCGUCCGGAAGGCCAUUGAUGGAUCUGUCGCCUCGUUCUGGUGGUUGGCUGCCGGUGGUCUCCGUGAGGGAGCAACGAUUCGUAGUCUACCGGUGCUCCUCGGAGGUGGUCUGCUCACUUGGGUGAAAGCCACUGCUCCUGCCGGAGUCGGCGAUGGUGACGCCCUCGGGUGCUGCUUACCUCCUUGGAGGCAUCGUUGUCAUGAUGACUUCCCCUUCGAGGCUCCUGGGGAAAACCAUGUUCCUGGUCCGUCUGGAACGGCUAAUGGCGGCGCAUUUCGCGUCGCAUUCCUUCCUGAAGGCAUCAGCUUGGUGGAUUGUGUGGUGGCUGCUCACUGCGGGUUGGACGGUGGCGGUGGCACGGCCAGCUUGCGCUGGUGUGCUUGGAGAAGCGAUCCGGGUGUAGACUCGGCUCCUUGAUGCCCUUCGGCUUCGCCAGCGGUGCCGCUGUUGUGAUGUAGACUCGACUGCGUGUGACUCUUCGUCCGGGUGUGGACUCGGUCGUUUGUUGCCUUUCGGCUGCACCAAUAGCCUUGAGGCAUCAUGGAUGGUCUCGGUUGAUUGGAGCUCUUCGUCUACGGUGGUGGUGUUCUCGUGCGUCUCAGGUUGGUAAUGGUUGCUCAAGAUCCUCUCAUGAUUACCGUUGUGUUGCGGCGAGCUUGGUGCUCUUGGUCUUGUCUCGACUCAUCUUUGCUCAAGGAUGGCGCAAGAUGCCUCUCAAGCUGCUAUUCGUUCCGUUUUUCUGUGGCGGAGCCCGAGUCAAGGUUCAUGUCUGGGAUGACACUCGUUGAUUGUGGAUGCUCCUGAGUUGUGCCAUGGGGCCCGUAUGCCCGCCGAUGCGUUCUGCUGUUUGCAAAGUCCUAGUAUUGUGAUCUCUCGACGACACCCCACAUCUACUUGUGUCUCUCAUGAUGAUGGUCUUAUGUCUGCCAGCUAGGAUGUGCCUUGUACGGUUUUCGGCCCGGUUUCCCUUAUAAACGGGGUCAAUUUGUUAAGGUUUUCGAUCCGGUUUUCCUUAUAAACUAGAUCACCACUCUGGCAUCUGGCCACUUUGAGUAGUAUAUUCUGGUGGGGAAACUCCCCCCGGUGAAUCUCAAAGAAAAAAACAAUGAUUAUCA